UACGUAGGGUGCAAGCGUUGUCCGGAAUUAUUGGGCGUAAAGAGCUCGUAGGCGGUCUGUCGCGUCGGAUGUGAAAAUCCAGGGCUCAACCCUGGACCUGCAUUCGAUACGGGCAGACUAGAGUUCGGUAGGGGAGACUGGAAUUCCUGGUGUAGCGGUGAAAUGCGCAGAGUAUCAGGAGGAACACCGAUGGCGAAGGCAGGUCUCUGGGCCAUAACUGACGCUGAGAAGCGAAAGCAUGGGGAGCGAACAGG
rnacentral:rRNA from 1 species